UACGAAGGGGGCUAGCGUUGCUCGGAAUCACUGGGCGUAAAGCGCACGUUAGGCGGCUUUUUAAGUCAGGGGUGAAAUCCUGGAGCUCAACUCCAGAACUGCCUUUGAUACUGAGAAGCUUGAGUCCGGGAGAGGUGAGUGGAACUGCGAGUGUAGAGGUGAAAUUCGUAGAUAUUCGCAAGAACACCAGUGGCGAAGGCGGCUCACUGGCCCGGUACUGACGCUGAGGUGCGAAAGCGUGGGGAGCAACAGG
rnacentral:rRNA from 1 species